rnacentral:lncRNA from 1 species
UCGAGAAACACUUUCUCCGAAUCCUUUGUAAGAAUAUCAAGUAACUUUUUAAAGGAUGGGAGAUCCUACUAGAUCUAUAAGGUAGAGGAUUUACUAUAUAUACUUGCUCAUCUUAAAUAGGUUGUAUAGGUUCUGUAACUCAUUCUUUAGAGAUUUCUCUUGGAGUUCAUCCUCUCAUUGUUUUCAAGAAAAUAGUAUGAU